rnacentral:rRNA from 1 species
UACGUAGGGUGCAAGCGUUGUCCGGAAUUAUUGGGCGUAAAGAGCUCGUAGGCGGUCUGUCGCGUCUGCUGUGAAAACUCGAGGCUCAACCUCGAGACGUCGGUUGAAACCGUAUGGCUAGAGUCCGGAAGAGGAGAGUGGAAUUCCCGGUGUAGCGGUGAAAUGCGCAGAUAUCGGGAAGAACACCCGUGGCGAAGGCGGCUCUCUGGGACGGUACUGACGCUGAGACGCGAAAGCGUGGGGAGCGAACAGG